AGACUCUCAGCUCCUCCUGCACCAUGC
rnacentral:piRNA from 1 species